rnacentral:lncRNA from 1 species
GCUGUCCACCUUGUUAAACACUUAUCAUUAUUAUUAAAAUUUCAGAUUUGUUGAGAGCAGAAUUUUCUUUGAGUUUUCUCCAAGAUUUCUCUCUUGAGUUUUCUUUAGAAGUUGUUUUAACAAUCUUUUUGAUUGUGGGAGCCAUCUUCAACCUUCUUCUUGCCAUUGAUAUUCUUUGGAGGGGAGAUUAGAGCCGUUUGAAGGGAGUUGUGAGAUCUUUCGAGAUUUCAAGGCUUCUUAGGACUUAUCUUUUAAUUUCUUAUUGUCAAUUCUUUCUUUAUUUCUGCUUGUGCCGAAUCUUUAUCUAAUUUAUUUUCUGUUCUUAUUGUGUUUUCAGCCUUUUUCUAUCUUAAGGAAUUAGCCCAAAAAUCCCCAAUUUCUAGGGUUCUUGCCGAUUCAUCCAUACUCUUUUUUGGGAGAAAUUAGAUUGCCGAAAUUUGGGGAAAACUAUCUGGGUGUUCAAUUGGGCAGAAUCGUAAUCUCUUCUAGGGUUUCAAGAUUCUUUAUUAACACUUAUUUCUAUUCUCUAUUUGAUUCUUUACUGUUUUGGGGAUUUUAUUUCAGAUCUGAAAAUUUAAAAAUCUAAUCUUUUAAUUUUCUGUUUCGUUUCAGAUCUAAUUGUUUAGGGUUUUCGUAGGAGUUUCCCGUGACUUGGCAACUCGAUCUUGGUCCGCGCGCAACCCCGUAUCA